rnacentral:rRNA from 1 species
AACGCUGGCGGCGUAGCCUAACACAUGCAAGUCGAACGAAGCUCCGGAACGGAUCUUCGGAUGAAGCGAAGGAAGACUUAGUGGCGGACGGGUGAGUAACGCGUGAGCAACCUGCCUUCAGAGGGGAUAACAGUUGGAAACGACUGCUAAUACCGCAUAAUAUAUUGUUGUCGCAUGGCAAUGAUAUCAAAGCUGAGGCGCUGGAAGAUGGGCUCGCGUCCGAUUAGAUAGUUGGUGGGGUAACGGCCUACCAAGUCGACGAUCGGUAGCCGGACUGAGAGGUUGAACGGCCACAUUGGGACUGAGACACGGCCCAGACUCCUACGGGAGGCAGCAGUGGGGGAUAUUGCACAAUGGGCGAAAGCCUGAUGCAGCAACGCCGCGUGAGGGAAGACGGUUUUCGGAUUGUAAACCUCUGUCUUUGGUGAAGAAGGAAGUGACGGUAACCAAGGAGGAAGCCACGGCUAACUACGUGCCAGCAGCUGC